UGGGGAAUUUUGGACAAUGGGCGCAAGCCUGAUCCAGCCAUGCCGCGUGCGGGAAGAAGGCCUUCGGGUUGUAAACCGCUUUUGUCAGGGAAGAAAUCUUCUGAGUUAAUACCUCGGGAGGAUGACGGUACCUGAAGAAUAAGCACCGGCUAACUACGUGCCAGCAGCCGCGGUAAUACGUAGGGUGCAAGCGUUAAUCGGAAUUACUGGGCGUAAAGCGUGCGCAGGCGGUUUUGUAAGACAGAGGUGAAAUCCCCGGGCUCAACCUGGGAACUGCCUUUGUGACUGCAAGGCUUGAGUGCGGCAGAGGGGGAUGGAAUUCCGCGUGUAGCAGUGAAAUGCGUAGAUAUGCGGAGGAGCACCGAUGGCGAAGGCAAUCCCCUGGGCCUGCACUGACGCUCAUGCACGAAAGCGUGGGGAGCAAACAGGAUUAGAUAGCCCCUGGUAGUCCACGCCCUAAAACGAUGUCAACUGGUUGUUGGGAAGGUUCCUUCUCAGUAACGUAGCUAACGCGUGAAGUUGACCGCCUGGGGAGUACGGCCGCAAGGUUGAAACUCAAAUGAAUUGACGGGGUCAUAGCUGUUUCC
rnacentral:rRNA from 1 species